CACCAAGGCAUCGACGGGUAGCUGGUCUGAGAGGACGAUCAGCCACACUGGGACUGAGACACGGCCCAGACUCCUACGGGAGGCAGCAGUAGGGAAUCUUGCGCAAUGGGCGAAAGCCUGACGCAGCAACGCCGCGUGGGGGAAGAAGGCUCUCGGGUCGUAAACCCCUUUCAGCAGGGGCGAAACUGACGGUACCUGCAGAAGAAGGACCGGCCAACUACGUGCCAGCAGCCGCGGUAACACGUAGGGUCCAAGCGUUGUCCGGAUUUAUUGGGCGUAAAGAGCUCGUAGGCGGUUCAGUAAGUCGGGUGUGAAAACUCAGGGCUCAACCCUGAGACGCCACCCGAUACUGCUGUGACUCGAGCCCGGUAGGGGAGCACGGAAUUCCUGGUGUAGCGGUGAAAUGCGCAGAUAUCAGGAGGAACACCAGUGGCGAAGGCGGUGCUCUGGGCCGGAACUGACGCUGAGGAGCGAAAGCGUGGGGAGCGAACAGGAUUAGAUACCCUGGUAGUCCACGCCGUAAACGUUGGCACUAGGUGUGGGAUUCAGUCAACGGAUUCCGUGCCGUAGCUAACGCAUUAAGUGCCCCGCCUGGGGAGUACGG
rnacentral:rRNA from 1 species